rnacentral:rRNA from 1 species
UUUGGAGGGCAAGUCUGGUGCCAGCAGCCGCGGUAAUUCCAGCUCCAAUAGCGUAUAUUAAAGUUGUUGCAGUUAAAAAGCUCGUAGUUGAAUUUCGGGAUCAAUAUUUCGGUCAUGCCGUUGGUAUGCACUGUUAUCAUUGAUUUCUCACCUUCUAAAGAACCGUAAUGCCAUUAAUUUGGUGUUACGGGGAAUUAGGACUGUUACCUUGAAAAAAUUAGAGUGUUUAAAGCA